GUCCAGACUCCUACGGGAGGCAGCAGUGGGGAAUAUUGCACAAUGGGGGAAACCCUGAUGCAGCGACGCCGCGUGAGUGAAGAAGUAUUUCGGUAUGUAAAGCUCUAUCAGCAGGGAAGAAAUAGCGACCUUUGGGUCGCCAGACGGUACCUGAUUAAGAAGCCCCGGCUAACUACGUGCCAGCAGCCGCGGUAAUACGUAGGGGGCAAGCGUUAUCCGGAUUUACUGGGUGUAAAGGGAGCGUAGACGGCAGCGCAAGUCUGAAGUGAAAUGCCGGGGCUUAACCCCGGAACUGCUUUGGAAACUGUGCAGCUAGAGUGCAGGAGAGGUAAGUGGAAUUCCUAGUGUAGCGGUGAAAUGCGUAGAUAUCAGGAGGAACAUCGGUGGCGUAAGCGCUUUACUGGGCCGUAAUUGACACUGAGGGACGAAAGCCAGGGUAGCAAAUGGGAUUAGAUACCCGCGUAC
rnacentral:rRNA from 1 species